CUACUGGAGUUCCGAAAGUUUGAAAAUGGCCAAUCCACCACUGCCAUGGCCCUCACCGUUGGUGUAGCAGCAGGAAUAGGGGCUCUGCUCUUGCUCCAGAACAAGGUGCAGACGAAAGGAGUGAUUAGGCCUCUGGAACCUGAAAUCUACAUUCCAGCAUUGGAAAUCUUGGACUCGUC